AGCUCAGAGAGCUAGCCUACCAAUCUCUCUCUUCCCUCUAUUUAUCUAUCUCUUCGCUCAUCGAUCUCCGUUUCCAUGAUCCAACGGCUCUGCUCAGCUCGCUUUUCAAGAACACAGAACAAAAGAAAGCUUAGUCAAAUAUUAUAAUAUAAUCGACGAGAAAGAACAGUGGUCAAACUACCUCUGAUUUGCAGUGUUCUCUUUU